rnacentral:rRNA from 1 species
CCUACGGGUGGCAGCAGUGAGGAAUAUUGGUCAAUGGGCGGAAGCCUGAACCAGCCAAGUCGCGUGAGGGAAUAAGGCCCUACGGGUCGUAAACCUCUUUUGCCGGGGAGCAAGGGCGGAGACGUGUCCCGGCCAGGAGAGUACCCGGAGAAAAAGCAUCGGCUAACUCCGUGCCAGCAGCCGCGGUAAUACGGAGGUCCGGGCGUUAUCCGGAUUUAUUGGGUUUAAAGGGAGCGUAGGCCGCAUGUCAAGCGUGCUGUGAAAUGUCCGGGCUCAACCCGGGCCUUGCAGCGCGAACUGGCGUGCUUGAGUCCGCGGAAAGCAGGCGGAAUUCGUCGUGUAGCGGUGAAAUGCUUAGAUAUGACGAAGAACCCCGAUUGCGAAGGCAGCUUGCUGCAGCGGAACUGACGCUGAUGCUCGAAAGCGCGGGUAUCGAACAGGAUUAGAUACCCUGGUAGUC